UAAACGCCUCUUCCGGUUCAGUCUGUAAACAGUGAUCUCAUCCCUAAUCUUGCGCCGUCUUCCUUUAGCAUUAUCUCCUAGCAUGAGCGGCACGCCGUCUCCACAGAAAUGACCGUGAACCCAAAUGUUUAUUUUUCCGUGUCCUUCCGAUCCGCCCGUUCUUUGACAUAAUGAUGAGUAGCUGGGGAUCUUUGAGUUAGCCUGGAGCAUGUUAGCAUGCUCAUUAUUAGCCUUGUAAAAAGGGGGCAAACAAGCAGCUGCCUGGUGCAAGCUCUGUUAAAGCUGCUUUCAAGUGUUUUCACUGGGUUUCCUGCUUGAAGAAUAAUGGAAGGCGUGCUUUACAAAUGGACAAACUAUAUGACAGGAUGGCAGCCAAGAUGGUUUGUGCUGGACAAUGGCAUUAUUUCGUACUAUGAUUCACAAGAUGAUGUGUGUAAAGGUAGCAAAGGCAGUAUUAAGAUGUCAGUAUGUGAAAUUAAAGUUCACCCAACUGACAACACGCGUCUGGAGUUGAUCAUACCAGGAGAGCAGCAUUUUUACGUGAAGGCAGUGAAUGCAGCGGAGAGGCAGAAGUGGCUGGUGGCUCUGGGAAGCUCCAAAGCUGGACUCAUUGACACUAGAACCAUAAAAGAAAGGGAGUUAACAGAAACCACAGAAUCCCUGAAAACCAAGAUGUCCGAGCUGCGCCUGUACUGUGACUUACUAAUGCAGCAAGUGCACACUAUUCAGGAGUCAGUGGAACAGGAAGAAGAGUCGACAGUGGCCAGCACUGAGACGAGGAACGAGGCGUCCUCAUUACUGAGUGCCACCUGUGAAACCUUCAUCAAAACACUGGAAGAAUGUAUGAAAAUCGCUAAUUCCAAGUUUAAGACUGAUAUGUUGCAAUCCAGUCCGACUGAUUCCAUAAUGUCCCCUGUGUCUCCCUCUCCCGUCCAAAUGUCUCGGAUGAAGCGCUCAAUCAGCCAUCCUGGCACCUACAAUUAUGAAAGGUCAAGCUUGCCAAAAGAGAGCAUGGUGUUGCAGAAGUCCUCCCAGAGGCGGACACGGACAUGUUCUGAUACAGAAGCUCACAGCGACAGAGGGGCAGAGGAGACGGAGCGCUUGAUGUUCCACAGAUCCAACAUUAACGGUGACUCCACUCCAAGUAUCCCAGAAGAGGUUGGAACGAGCACAAAGUUCCUGUCGGAAACUGACACUCCGGAAUCUGACCUUUCCCUCUGAACCACGCGAGACGGCUUAUGAGACUCGUAACUCGUACUGCUAUGCAGUCAAAGAUUGCAGCGUUACAUACAGUAGAUGGAUUUUACAAAGUAUUGUUGUAUUUCCUGAUGAAGAAGAAUUCGGUGGCACUUUAUAAAAACAGAUUAUGAAGACAACAGUAGUCUGAUUCGAAUGUUUCUACCCUUCCAGCUGAUUGGAGAGCUCGAUCUCCGCCAGCCUCUGCUGGUUGAGCAGGAUCAGAUCUCGUGUGGUGUCGUGCUGGGCGAUGUCGGCCAGCACAAAUUGGCUGUUGAUGAACUUCUUGAUGCUCUGGAUGUUGAAGGUGACCUCUGGGUGAACAAUGGUGAAGUACUCAUCCAGACGGAUACCUGCGGUCUGCAGUCCAGGAACAAACUUCUGAAUGUUGACACCUGUUUGCUUCACCACCAGCUAAAACGACAAGAAAUUGUUCAAAACGACUGUGUCUUGAUGUACUUUAAUAUUUGAUAUCUGUUAAUGAAGGGAAAUGCAGAGUUUUACUUACAUCUUGAUCAAAAACAAUGUGAAAGGGAAAAGCAUUACAGAAGGCUUGUUCUUCAAUCCAAAGUCUUUUUGGGUAGCUGGGAGUGAACGAUUGUCGCAGAUUGCCUUAAUUUAGAAAAACACCAAUAUAAAACCCAUUAACUCAGGUGUUAUUUGAAUAAUGUCAAAAUAGGUACAUUUUAUGUUACAGUGGGGUUGUAAAAAGCACACGGAAAAUCUGGAAUUCUAUCAAAAUCUAUUUUUAAUAUGAAACACAUCUACGUAAUUUCUGGUAAAUUAGCAUGUGCUAUGUAGUGGCACAGUCAAAGGCAGAAACAGAGGCUAUGAAAAAGCUGUCAAACCUUGGCCCAACAUGACAAUGCUCCUCACAGUCUCCCAUGGAGAUCGUUUCCUUGGACACAGCUGCAGGCUGGCAUACCUGGCCUUCAUUCUCUUCAUUAUCUCUUCCUUGUCCUGUUGAUAUAUAGCAGUUGUCAUAGUUACAAACUUUCUCACGUUAGUCAUGAUUUCAGAAAUACAAAGACGGCAGACAGUUGAGUGUCUAGACCUACUUAAACAUUCAAGAUGUCUAUACAAAAUGAAAAUGAUGGCGCCAAAGCAAGUAAAAUGCAAGAGACACUGAAACAAACCACUUGAAAAACUCAAACAUCAUAGACUUCAUAAUACAGUUUACAGAAACGCAUGACAGUCCCUUAUGCUCUGUCUUCCUCUCAGUGGGGACUUACACACCUGUUUCUCAGCCUGUAUUUCCUCAUUGCCGCCUUUCUGUCUUGGUUGAGCCUUUUUUUUGGACACCUUUUCCUUCUGUACCAUGUGGAAAACCACAUGUUCCUUCUUUCCAGUGCGCUCAUCCUCUUCUGACUGGUUUAGAAUGGUCAUUGUAACCUCACUGUCAAAGAAAUCCUUUGCCACAGCCUCGAUAAUACCUGCCCAAUGGUUAUGAAAAAAAAAAAAACAGUAAUUGCUAAAUGUGCUAAUACAUAGUCCCAUAAAGCAAAUAGUGCAAAUAUAUAUUUAAAUAUAUUUAAAUUUUAUGAUGUGAUUAUGCUGGAACUCUCACCUGGCACGAUGUGAUACAACCCUUUCCUAUCUGAGUAAUAGUGAAGGAGAAUUCGUCCAUCAUCCAUCCGCUCCACACGAAAGGACGGAGCAUUCAUGGCCUAAAAAAAGGCAUGCCGUGUUACAAACCACAAUAGAGUUCAUAGUUCCAUACUCUGCAAAAACUAACACAAAUGUCAUUUUUUCUAUGUAAAUAUUUGCUUGAUGGAUGUAUUUAGGAUUACAAAGAGACAAUGUGAAAUUUUAGGGAGUAUUCAAAUUAUCCUGACCUCAUAAGACAAUGCCAGAUAACUGUGUAGAGCAUCAAGAUUUUCAAUAAAUUCCACCAGGUUUCCACCGAGUGUUCGCAGCAUAGUGUCAUAUCCGGACAUCUUACAAAAGCUGAAAAAGUACUCUCCAAAAAGCUUCAAAACCACCUCGGAGGAGAUAUCUAGAGGACGAAAUAAAACAACAUUUAAGUUUCAAAGCACAGCAAUUACUUUAAAGGAGUUGCUCAGAACCCCCAAAUACAUCACUUGCUCACCAGUGGAUCCUCUGCAGUGAAUGGGUGCCGUCAGAAUGAGAGUCCAAACAGUUGAUAAAGACAUCACAAUAAAUAAAGCAGAUCAAUUAACAUUUUGUGAAAUGUUGAGUGUUUGUAAGAAAUAAAUCCAUCAUCAAGGCAUUUAAACUAAGAACCAUUGCUUCUGACCUAAAUAUCCAUUAUGUAUAAUAAAGCUACCUCCAGUUAAAAAGUCUCAUUGUCCUUUCACAUCCAAAACCACCAACACAUUUGUAUAGAACUGUUUUCAGUGGUACAUGCCACUUGAUCUGUGGAUAUUUCUCUCUUAAUUCAGACAAGACAACUUUUGAACUGGAGAAAGUAAUAUUAUGGAGUAAGGACUCAUAUUUUCAUAAGAACAGUUUGAAGUUAAAAAUGUCUGAUGGAAUUAUUAGUAUAAAUCACACUUUUUCCUUCACAAGGUGUUAACUGAUGGACUGGAAUUAUGUGGAUUCCUUGUGGAUUAUUUUGAUGUUUUUAUCAGCUGUUUGGACUCUGACGGCACCCAUUCACUAAAAAGGAUCCAUCGGUGAGUGAGUGAUAUUAUGCUACAUUUGUCCAAAUCUGUUCGAAUGAAGAAACAAACUCAUCUAUAUUUUGGACAACCUGACGGCGGCUACUUUUUCAGCAAAUUGGCAAAAUUCAUCAUUUUUGGCUGAACCAUUCCAGUAAGACUGCAAUUCAGUUUCUCUUUCCAAUUUUAAUUGCGCCCAGGUUGUUUUUGAGUUCAGGUGUGUGACCCACUCCAGAGAUUCACACCUGCCCUUGUCCACACAUUCUCAGGGACAGAUUGGAGGACAGGUUAGGACAUCAACCGUUGCGAUGCCCAGCAGACUAUUCUCAGCUGGGACAUUGUUAACACUCUCCCAGAUACUUUAAUCAAUGUCUGCAAGUCCCCAAAGACAUUGUGAAUACGACAUAACUUCGAGGCUUUCACAGUUUACUCUUCCUGUCUUUUUUCCUCAAUGCUUCACACAAUGACAGACAUUCAAAAGUGGAUCUAAACAAAAACAGGCCUUUUAAAGAAGUGAAACAUUCUGAAGAAUUAAACAAAGUCCCUAACCAACCAUUAAAGGAAGUACACAUGCAGACAGACAUAAGCCCAAGGGCAAAUAAAUACAUUCAGAUUUAAAAUGCCUUGGAGAAACAGAGUACAUUAGCAUCCUGAUUUGUACUACAAAAUACAAAAUGAUACUCACCCAGCAUUUUACAAGCCUCUUGCACUAAACGAAGAGUGAUGACAUCGUCGUAGAUUUCAUAGGUCAUAAAUGUAUCCUGGACACCAGCCAUUAAUCUGGGAAGGAUUUUAUUAGUUGAAACAAACCACAAAACCCAUCCACGGUUUCUGUAAACAUUACAUGUGUAACACACCUCAGAUUUUCCCAUGUCUCUUCUCCGAACCUUUCAAUGACCAGUGACUUCAGACACGUAUUAAUAAAGCCGUACUGUGAAAAAAAAAAACAGUGUUAGUUAGAAAGUGCUGAAAUACAAUGUUGUAGAGAAAGCAUUUACAUUUUACAUUUAAGUGUUUAAUGAAAGAUUUUCAAUCAUUUAAGAUAAAAUAUCUAUCUAUCUAUCUAUCUAUCUAUCUAUCUAUCUAUCUAUCUAUCUAUCUAUCUAUCUAUCUAUCUAUCUAUCUAUCUAUCUAUCUAUCAUACACACAAUGUUUUGCACAUACCAUUUCUCCAAACCAGCUGUUAUGCCAAAGUUGUACUCUGUAUAUUAUCCACACUGAGCAGAAGAUGCUCUUUAAAUUGUGGUGUGUAGAUUAUGUAGUCUCAUCCAGAAAUAUCUACAUAUGCAGACACUCCCACUCAACCAUACUCUUUUACAUUAAUGCAUGCACACAAGUCAAGUCACCUUUAUUUAUAUAACGCUUUAAAUAAAAAAGACUGUGUCGAAGCAACUGAACAACAUUAAUUAGGAAACAGUGUGUCAAUAAUGCAAAAUGACAGUUAAAGGCAGUUCAUCAAUUAAUUCAGAAGACACAUACACACAUCCAAACAUAAAGACCUCAUUGCCCACUCAUUGGGGAACAGGGAUGCAUUUUAGUGUUUAAAGUUUGCAAAUAUAUGCAAACUUGAUGAGCAAUAUACUGUAUGUUCUCUCUUUGAUACUCUAACCUGUUAAACCUGCUAAAUAGGCAGAGCAUGAAUUAAAUGCUUCCGUCGAUCUUUU